UAGUGUUACAGCUCUUUUAGAAUUUGUCUAGCAGGUUUUCUGAUUUUUAUCCAGAACCCCU
ensembl:snRNA U7 U7 small nuclear RNA